UACGAAGGGGGGCUAGCGUUGCUCGGAUUGACUGGGCGUAAAGGGCGCGUAGGCGGUUCGUACAGUCAGACGUGAAAUUCCUGGGCUCAACCUGGGGGCUGCGUUUGAUACGUGCGGACUUGAGUGCGGAAGAGGGUCGUGGAAUUCCUGGUGUAGCGGUGAAAUGCGCAGAUAUCAGGAGGAACACCAAUUGCGAAGGCAGCUCGCUGGGACGUUACUGACGCUGAGACGCGAAAGCGUGGGGAGCAAACAGG
rnacentral:rRNA from 1 species